UGGACCCUGGGGAUUUGAACCUACUGCAUCUGGACUGGGAGGAAAAUGCAGAAUGAAAAAGGGGGAUGUCUGGUUAAAAAAAAAAAAGGCACAGCCUGACACCGUGGCUAAAACAGUGCCACUUAGAUCUAGUUUCCCCUGUGCUAGAGUUUUCAUCUGGAAUGCCUCUCAAAGGCCCAUGUGUUAAAGGGGUGGUCCCCCAGCUGGGGGCGGUAGGGAGGUGCGGCCUAGUGAGAGGUCUUCAGAUAAUUGACGUGUACUCUUAAAGGGAAUAAUGGAACCUCAGCCCCUUCUUCUUCCUCUGUUUUCACUUGUCAGGCAUGAAGUGAGUGGGUUUGCUGCCUCACUGAAGCCAGAUUUAAAGAUAGGUAGUUAGUAUAGUUAGGUAAAUUGGUCUAAUAUUGAGUAAAGUAAAGAAAAUGGAGGCCAUUAUUGAGAAUGGAGUCCAGGAAAUCAGAGCAGCACUUGGGGAAAUUGAAAUGUUAAUGUCCCCAAGGCCCAGAACCCAUCCUAAGAAACUGUUAAUGAAACAGCUCCCAGCAAACAGGGAACUAAUCCAAAAACUGCCCCAGGCCCUUCCUGCCCAGAUUACUCCUCCAGCCCACUUAUCUCCCACCUGUUGAGCCUUCCUACCUGCAGACUAUCACUGCAGGAUAAAGGGAAACAAAGGACUUGGAUGUGGGGAAAGUAAAAGAAGACCUUAGCUAUAAAAGAGGGAAGGCCUCCCCCUCCUUUCAGGUUCUCUUCUUCUGGGGAGAAGUCUUUUCUGCUGUCC
rnacentral:lncRNA from 1 species